rnacentral:misc_RNA from 1 species
GAACGCACCUUGCGCUCCUGGGUAUUCCCAGGAGCAUGCCUGUUUGAGUGUCAUGAAUCCCUCAAAUCCCAAUGUUUUGCAAAAUUCGUUGCUUGGAUUUGGUCAUGGGCCGACUUUGCUACUUUAUUGUUAGCUGGCCUUAAAGACAUUAGCUUGGACUUUCGAACCUUUUCAGAAGGGUCUCCAUAUGAUGUGAUAAAUUUACGUCGAUGGGCUAAUGACUCUACUGUUGUCAAUGGUUUUGAAAAUGAAUAGUCUAGCUUUCUAACCCGGCGAAGAGUUCCAUCUCUGACCCACUUUUCAUUUAACUCUGGCCUCAAAUCAGGUAGGACUACCCGCUGAACUUAAG